AUUGAACGCUGGCGGCAGGCCUAACACAUGCAAGUCGAACGAGUGGCGGACGGGUGAGUAAUGUCUGGGAAACUGCCUGAUGGAGGGGGAUAACUACUGGAAACGGUAGCUAAUACCGCAUACCAUCGGAUGUUCCCAGAUGGGAUUAGCUAGUAGGUGGGGUAAAGGCUCACCUAGGCGACGAUCCCUCGCUGGUCUGAGAGGAUGACCAGAAAAAGUGGAACGGAGACACGGUCCAGACGCCUAAGGGAGGCAGCAGUGGGGAAUAGUGCACAAUGGGCGCAAGCCUGAUGCAGCCAUGCGGCGUGUAUGAAGAAGGCCUUCGGGUUGUAAAGUACUUUCAGCGGGGAGGCGUUACCCGCAGAAGAAGCACCGGCUAACUCCGUGCCAGCAGCCGCGGUAAUUC
rnacentral:rRNA from 1 species